AUCCAUAGCUGAAACACAGGAGGCACCGGAUUCCCAUCUGAUCUUGGGAGCUAAGCAGGGUUAACCAUGGUCGGGAUUCGGAUGGGAGACCGCCAGCAAAUCCCAGGUUCUGUGGAUG
rnacentral:rRNA from 1 species